GAUGAACGCUGGCGGCGUGCUUAACACAUGCAAGUCGAACGGAAAGGCCUCUGCUUGCAGGGGUACUCGAGUGGCGAACGGGUGAGUAACACGUGGGUGAUCUGCCCUGCACUUCGGGAUAAGCCUGGGAAACUGGGUCUAAUACCGGAUAGGACAAUGGUUUGGAUGCUGUUGUGGAAAGUUUUUCGGUGUGGGAUGAGCUCGCGGCCUAUCAGCUUGUUGGUGGGGUAAUGGCCUACCAAGGCGUCGACGGGUAGCCGGCCUGAGAGGGUGUACGGCCACAUUGGGACUGGGAUACGGCCCAGACUCCUACGGGAGGCAGCAGUGGGGAAUAUUGCACAAUGGGCGCAAGCCUGAUGCAGCGACGCCGCGUGGGGGAUGACGGCCUUCGGGUUGUAAACUCCUUUCGCUAGGGACGAAGCGUUUUUGUGACGGUACCUGGAGAAGAAGCACCGGCUAACUACGUG
rnacentral:rRNA from 1 species